rnacentral:rRNA from 1 species
AGAGUUUGAUCAUGGCUCAGGAUGAACGCUAGCUACAGGCUUAACACAUGCAAGUCGAGGGGCAGCAUGGUCUUAGCUUGCUAAGGCCGAUGGCGACCGGCGCACGGGUGAGUAACACGUAUCCAACCUGCCGUCUACUCUUGGACAGCCUUCUGAAAGGAAGAUUAAUACAAGAUGGCAUCAUGAGUCCGCAUGUUCACAUGAUUAAAGGUAUUCCGGUAGACGAUGGGGAUGCGUUCCAUUAGAUAGUAGGCGGGUAACGGCCCACCUAGUCUUCGAUGGAUAGGGGUUCUGAGAGGAAGGUCCCCCANAUUGGAACUGAGACACGGUCCAAACUCCGUACGGGAGGGA